rnacentral:rRNA from 1 species
UACGGAAGGUGCGAGCGUUACUCGGAAUUACUGGGCGUAAAGCGCACGUAGGUGGUUUUAUAAGUCGGAUGUGAAAGCCCCGGGCUUAACCUGGGAAUUGCAUCUGAUACUGUCUGACUAGAGUAUGCUAGAGGGAAGUGGAAUUCCAGGUGUAGCGGUGAAAUGCGUAGAUAUCUGGAGGAACACCAAUGGCGAAGGCAACUUCCUGGGGCAAUACUGACACUGAUGUGCGAAAGCGUGGGGAGCAAACAGG